rnacentral:rRNA from 1 species
AGUGAACGCUGGCGGCGUGCCUAAUACAUGCAAGUCGAACGAAGUGGCGCACGGGUGAGUAAUAUAUAGUUAAUCUGCCCUACACAGAGGAACAACAGUUGGAAACGGCUGCUAAUACCUCAUAUUGUAGGAUGAGACUAUAUCGUAUCAGCUAGUUGGUAAGGUAAUGGCUUACCAAGGCUAUGACGCGUAACUGGUCUGAGAGGAUGAUCAGUAACAUUGGAACGGAGACACGGGCCAAACACCUACGGGAAGCAGCAGUAAGGAAUAUUGCGCAAGGGGGGAGACCCUGACGGAGCAACGCCGCGUGGAGGAUGACACGUUUCGGAGCGUAAACUCCUUUUAUCAGGAAAGCGGUACCUGAUGAAUAAGCACCGGCUAACUCCGUGCCAGCAGCCGCGGUAAUUC